GACGAACGCUGGCGGCGUGCUUAACACAUGCAAGUCGAACGGAAAGGCCCUGCUUUUGUGGGGUGCUCGAGUGGCGAACGGGUGAGUAACACGUGAGUAACCUGCCCUUGACUUUGGGAUAACUUCAGGAAACUGGGGCUAAUACCGGAUAGGAGCUCCUGCUGCAUGGUGGGGGUGGGAAAGUUUCGGCGGUUGGGGAUGGACUCGCGGCUUAUCAGCUUGUUGGUGGGGUAGUGGCUUACCAAGGCUUUGACGGGUAGCCGGCCUGAGAGGGUGACCGGCCACAUUGGGACUGAGAUACGGGCCAGACUCCUACGGGAGGCAGAAGUGGGGAAUAUUGCACAAUGGGCGGAAGCCUGAUGCAGCAACGCCGCGUGCGGGAUGACGGCCUUCGGGUUGUAAACCGCUUUCGCCUGUGACGAAGCGUGAGUGACGGUAAUGGGUAAAGAAGCACCGGCUAACUACGUG
rnacentral:rRNA from 1 species